rnacentral:RNase_P_RNA from 1 species
ACAGAAGAGCAGCUUAUCGCGUGUACCCCGUUGCCUUUCGUGCAAUGUAAGUGGUGCAGGAGGAAAGUCCGGGCAGCACAGGGCGCUCCGCUUCUUAAUGGGAAGUAGUCCGUGAGGGUUAAGUCGUGCAGAAGAAAACAACCGCCUUGGCGCGUCUUGUAUUUCAAGAUGACAGCUUCAUAGGUAAGGGUGAGAAGGUGGGGUAAGAGCCCACCAGUCGUGUGGUGACAUACGAGCUGUGCACAUCGGAGGCUGAAAGUUCAUGUAUACCGGCGAAUGAGGAUUGCCCGUUCGAGAUUUUGUUCCUCGUGAACAAAGCGCGCCGGAGGGUAGAACGAUAGAGCGCAUCAGUGAUGGUGCGUGCGGAUAAAUGAUAAGCACCCUCUUAAGGGAAGUUACGCCUGUAAUUUCUUGAGGGCACAGAACCCGGCUUAUCGCUCUUCUGUUUUU